CCCAACCUCGCGCCUCUCUCCCGUGCGCCGCGCCGCCCCUCCGGUCGCUGCUAUGCCGCGUGCCUGCCUUCCCUAUUCGUGCGCCACAUUAUGCGUGCCCGUGCGCCGCAUCGCGUCACGCCACGCCGCGCGGGCCCGCCGCCGACCGAGCCGCCGAAAUCCCGCGCAAAAGCUGCGGCUCCACGCGCGCGCGUCAUCGCCGUCGCCAUCGCGCGUCGCCUCGGAGCAGAUGGAUAACGGCCACUGCGCCAUCCCGCGUCACCCCUAGCCCUAGCCAACUACCUUUGGACAGGAGAACCGCCCUCACCAAGCCGCCACUCUGCCACAGCUCCCAUGUGCGCGCAUCGCCAUGGCCACGUCCGUCACCAAUGAUGUCCCGGCGCCCUUCUUUGUAUCCGGUGGGUAAAACGAAGUCCCCUUCCCCAGCUAGGGCUAAAACUCGCAGACUAUAGGAUAUAGGGUGAUGAUGGAGCCACAAAACCUCAAUGCCCUUAUCCGAUUGCCAUUAGGGCUCUAGCUCAGCUAUUGUGUGUUGGCAUCCUUAUCCUCCAUAGUUUUCUUACAUCCUAAGCCAAGCCAGGCCAUCAAAACCCCAUCCCCCUCUGCCUUUCUCUAGUCAUGCAUUUCAUCGAACACCUUGCUAUCACUCUCUCACCACCGCUAGAGAUCACCAUUGUGAGGCUCCCCGGCCAGAGCUGGAGGUUGGAGGGAGUGGGGGAGGUUCCGUGCUGCCGCCAUCGCCAUUGGGGGAGCAGAGGACCGCUGGACACCGGGAACCACGCGUCGAACACUUUCGGGCGUCACCAACAGCUAGCCGCCUCUGCUUCGUCCGCACCGCACCACGCGUCACCGCCCUUCGCCGUCUCUCCAUCCCGGGAAACUGUAUAUCGGUUAGUCGUGAGGGAGCGUAUACAGCUUCCAGGAGGUGAAGGUUGAUCAAGAUUAUAUCAAGAAUAAGAACUACCCUGAGCAGGCAAGUCAUCACCCCAUCCCUUGAGCAUGUUGAUCCCAAUCGUGAAAUUGUUUUGUUUACAAAUAAAAUUGCAUGCAGUGAUGAAUAUCCUACUUGUUAUUAUGCCAUGCCUUUGAUUAUUGCUUAUCUCAUUA